GAAGUGAAAGUAAGAGAAGAGCUGCUAACUCUAACUCUAAGCGGUUUAAUUCCGUUUGCAUUUCU